rnacentral:lncRNA from 1 species
UUGAAAAAAACUUGCCAAAAUUUGAAACAUUGGCCAAGCAUUUAUGGGAUGGAUCACACUUUUCAUCAUUUUUCUUUCCCUUUUAAACACUACACGUACAACACAAAGAAAAAAGAAAAGAUUCUCUCUUAUCUCACUUUCUCUCUCUUAAUUCACUCUCUCUUUCUUUUCUCUUUACUGUCAUCCACCCCCAUAAUAUUUCCCUUUUAUUUUCCUAUAAAACAAAGAACAAGCAGCAACAACAAGCCUCCUUCAUUUUUUUUUUACAUUUUCAUAAACAACAAUUACUCCCUCCACUAAUCUCCAGAUCCCGCUAGCCACCAGAUUCAGCCACCAUUGUCAAACCAGAUCCGGCGACCUCCCUGGCAAACACACUCCAGAUCCGGUAGCCUGCUACCACCACUGAAAGUAAUAUUAUGUUGUUUAAUUUUCUUAGUGAUUUUAUUUUUUCUCUGAUAUAUUGGUAUUAUUUUAUCUGUGCCAAAAUAUUUUUUUGGGCCAAUGAUAUUAUCUUUUCGUCGGAUAUUUGAGACCACCCCAUUACAAAGGACGGAUUUUAUUUUCCAAGCUAUUUAUUUUUUUAAAAAAAAUAGACAUUUCGCCAGUGUUAUUCUCCUGAAAUUAUGCUCAUUUUGGCUUUGUCUGUUCUUUGAUAUUGUUUGUUGUUGGUGGAAUAGUGUUUUGAAAAUACUGUUGCUUACUUUAUCAUUAUGUUUAGGUUGGUAUUUCCUCUACUGUAGUUUGAUUGACUAAAAAAUAUUUUUCAAAUGAUGUCCCUUUUGUUAUUUUUUGGUACAGAUAGUUAUGAAUUAUUGUUUACUGUUCUACUUGGUUACUGUUCCUUUACAAUUUUUUUAGACCAUUUUGUACCUCAUAUUAUUUACAAUGACAAUAAAAUAAAUAUUUUGGACAAUAAUGAAUUCGUUAUAACUUUUUUUUAAUAAAAAUUAUAUUUUUUAAUAGAUAUAUGUGCACAUGCCUUUUUAUAAUUAUUUCUUUGUUACUAACAUUUUUACUACAAGUGUUUGUACAGGUUCUCGAGAAUAAUUGUCGAAAAGGACACUCAAAAGAGAGUUCAAGCUUAUUUUAUAUUUGUAUUUUUUUAUUCUUAUAGUUGUACAAAUAUUGUCAUAGUGUAACUUUAUUUUUUGGGGCGUUGGGUGGGGUUGUUCUUUAUUUACACAAUCUUUAACACACGUGUAGGCAAAUUUAGGCCUCCAAUAUUUAUAUUAAAUUAAUUUAGACAUCUAAUCAAAUAAUUCUCAAUUUAUACACCAAAAACAUUACAUAAUCUUUUCUUUAAAUAAAUUUCCUUUUAUUCAAUCUUUAUUUUUCUUUUCAUAUACAUUCUUAUAUUUUUUUUUAUUUACAUAUUUUCAUAUACUUUUAUACAUAGUUUACUAUAAUAUAGAUAAUUUGUGCAUCUUUUAUACAUAAAUUAUUUACAUCAUUUUAAUACACUUUUUGUAUUUGUAUAUACACAGAUUUUUUUUUAUCUUUUAAUAAACCUAAGUCUGGCCGGAAACCACAUGUAUGGAUUCUGAAGGGUGCCUAAUACCUCUCCUUUGGAAUAAUUUGAACCCGUACUUAGAAUCUAAAUUGGUUCGUAGAUUAAAACACAAGCCAUACAUGUUAAUAAAUAAAUAGGUUUUCUUACUUUUCUUAAAAACUAGGUGGCAACUCUGUACAUAAUUAACUCUUUUUUUAGAGUCCAUAAGUCAUGCUUGUUUUACUUAGGUAAAAAUCGGGUAUGACAGAAUGACGACUCUGCUGGGGGAUGCAAGGUUCUAACCAUUACAAAUUUAGGUAAAUAUUUAUAUUUUUCUGUAUUAUUAUUUAUGCCUUUCUAAUUGUUUUGAUUUAUCAUGUUUGUGUGUACAAAUUGCUAUUUGUUUUGUAUAGUUUAUUUAUUUGUUUAUUGCUUUAUAUAAACUGUCAUCUCGUUCAUAUUUCUUCCAUUUGGGAAAAGCUGACACAAUUAAGUGAGGUGUGUUUUGCGCACCCGCAAAUUUCUUUCAAAAUUCUAAACUUUAGGAGAGUUGGCGUAUGCGUGGGGUGUCCGGAUCUUUUUUUGUGUGCCCGCGUAACCUUCUCACUCGAGUAGUCCACUCGAGAACCACAGGUCUAGCAAAUCCACUCUUCGUCGAACAUAGGAUAGAGCUAAAAUAAUACCUUUUAGGUGCAUGCAUUGUUAGUCAACUUUAUGUCCGAAUGGUUCACGACCCAAGUGACAUGUCAUCAUAUUCUUUGUACAUAUUUGAACAAUUAUUGUGUCUGUACUAUUUGCUUUAAAUUGAUUAUACUUUAGUGAGAAGGUGUAGUCUAAUCUUUGUUUUACAUAGUGAAUUAAUUAAGAAUGUACCUUAGCAACAUCGCCUAUAGUGUAUAGGUUUGAACUACGUUUUGACCUGAUUCUUGUCUUGAUGAGAUACGUAGGCAACCUUGCAUUAGGGUUUGGUCUCUUCACUGUUCUAGAAUAAUUUCUCUGGUAUUCAAAACUGGGGCAAAUAUUUUUGAAACAGUUUAAAGACGCUCUCCAAAAGCAUUCAAGAGCGCAAUUUAAUAGCUCCUUAAAUUCAAAUCUUAAUAACAUUAGUGCAUAGUCGGCCUACAUUUUGAUCUUAUUUAAAAAAUACAAAAAUAUUUGUUUCACUCUUCAUUUAGAGUAGAUAUCACAUACAUCUUUAAAAGAAAAUUACAAAAAAGAUUUUUCUUAACUAGUUUCAGGUUUCAUUUUCGUAUGAAUUUCAAAAUCGAAAGUCCGAAAAGAUUUUUUGGUAAUCAUAGGUUUCAUUUUGUAUAGGGAUGUUAAAAUUGAAAAAUUCAAAAAGAUUUUUCGUCAAUUCUUUUGACAAUUUGUUAUUUUCUUUUCUUUCUUAAAAAAAAAGAGAGAGUUUGUUGGCCAUGUUGUGCCAAAACUGCUUGAACUACGCAGACUUGAUUCUUGUUUCACAAAAUACGUAGGCAAUCCUCAUUUGGGUACAGUCUCAUUUUUUUAAAAAAAAAAUAAAAAAUAAAAAAAAUAAAAAUUGACUUGGUUGAUACUAAUACAGUUAGGAGUGUGCAUAAGAAAAAAUAAAUUGGUAUGAUGGAGAGGACCGACUUCAUGGUAAACCAUAGGUUCUUUUGGUACCUUUUAUCACACCUGAGUAACACUUGAAAGAUUCUCUUGCAUACAUCUAAGACAAGAAUGAAGCCAGACUCAUUGUUUCAUGUGCAUAGAGUGGUGAGCUUUAGUUUAUAAUUCAUUGUAUUGCAUUGAUGAUCUAGAACUUGACCUUGAUGUCAUUGAGGCGAAAUUCUGAGUUAUACUUGAUUUAGGAAAGGAUCGUAGGCCUUCUUUGACCCGAUUGAGCCUUUCACAACCCACCAAAUGACAUUAAUUCCUAGUAUUCCCUCUUUUGAGCCUAAACUUUUCUUUGGACAACCGCAUUUAAGCCUAUACCUUUUUAGUGCUUACAUGCACUAUCUCUCUCUUGGCCUUACCUUCUUGAGCGCACUAAAUACGGGCAAAUUACGGACGAAGAUUCAAGAUCAAAGAUGCCAGGUGCAAAGAAUAUGUCUCCAGAUGAAAGAAAUAAUGAAAUGAAAAAUGACUUCAAAAGGAGCAAAAUACCACAAAAAAAAGAGAGAAAAAAAAAGAACAAAAAAAAUGUAUAUAGUUUCUUGAAAAAAAGAAGAAGGGAAAGCUCAUUCAAAAGAAGUCAAAGCAAAUACUAAAACAAGGGACAUAACAGAUAAGAUGGAGCGUUAAAAUGCAAUAAAUGGAUAUAGUGCACUGCUCAUUGAGGAAUUAGUCACUUUUAUUUCAAAAUAUUAUCCUUCUGUCCCCAAGCCUACAUUACAAGACAAUAACAAGUCCUAUGAGAUCCUAUCUCAAGUGUUCUCACAUUAGUGGAUACUUACAUGAAGGUCAAGCCUAUGGUAUUACAAUUGCAUGCAUUGAAUUUCUUUCUGAGCGUGAAUGUAUUUCUUGAGAUGUCACUAAAUUCAAAAAAAAAAAAUUCGAAUAUGUGUGAAAUGGGACUUUCUUUCUGGAGUGAGCACUUGAAACAUGAGAAUAAGCAUAGUUCAAAAUCUUUGUUUGAAGCAAGACGAACAAAUCUUAUCGAUACUUAGCCAUGUCUGAGGUACCACUUGAAAUUAUAGGAGCUACCUUGAAGUCGAUCUCGAUUAGCUGGAAAAGAGAUAGGGGAAUUCUUAUGCACACUACUAAUUAUUGGUACCAACUGAAGUCAAGAUACGCUCGUAUUUUCGUCAUUUUCCAGCACUUUUACCAGUCUCAGUCUUCAUAGACAAUCGAAGACGUCAUGCAUCUUUUCAAGCCGCAAUAGAAAAAAAAAUAUUUUUUGGUUUCCUUAGAAGGAGUCAGUGGCAGCAUAAAUCAUACACUGGGGCAAAUUUUGAGAGACACCCUAAAAUUUACUCUAUUUCUCAAUUUCAAACUACAUUAACCUCAUUCUCGUAACACUCGGGAUAUGUAGGAAGCUCUAUGUAGAGUUCGGUCAUCACAACUGCACAAUCAUUCUUUAUCCCCAGCAAUUAUACAAUUUUGCAUCUCCCAGCAUCUCAUAAUUUGAUACUAGGGCAAUUUUGCAAGCUGUAUCGGGAAUAUGUGAAUACUUCCAUUCCCGAGUAAUUCUUUGUUCGAUAAUAUUUUUGACAUGGGUUUUUUCACCCUAAAUUACAUUCAAAAUAGGCCGUCUGCCUUUUAAUUAGACGCAUUGGAUCAUCACUUCAUUCAAAGUGACAUGUUACAUUCAUAAUAGGUUGUCCGCCUUUCAAUGAGACACGUUGGAUUGUCACUCCGUUCAAAGUGACAUGUUACAUUCAAAAUAGGUCGUCCGCCUUUCAAUGAGAUACGUUGGACCGUCACUCCAUUCAAAGUGACAUGUUACAUUCAAAAUAGGUCGUCCGCCUUUCAAUGAGACACGUUGGACCGUCACUCCAUUCAAAGUGAUAUGCUAUAUUCAAAAUAGGUCGUACACCUUUCAAUGAGACAUAUUGGACUAUCACUCCUUUCAAAGUGACAUGUUACAUUCAAAAUAAGUCGUCCGCCUUUCAAUGAGACACGUUGGACCGUCCUCUUUCAAUGAGACAUAUUGGACCAUCACUCCGUUCAAAGUGACAUGUUACAUUCAAAAUAAGUCGUCCGCCUUUCAAUGAGACACGUUGGACCGUCACUCUGUUCAAAGUGGUAUAUUACAUCCAAAAUAGAUCGUUCGCCUUUCAAUGAGACAUGUUGGAUUCUCACUCCGUUCAAAGUGACAUGUUACAUUCGAAAUAGGUCGUUCGCCUUUCAAUGAGACACGUUGGACUGUCACUUCGUUCAAAGUGACAUGCUACAUCCAGAAUAGGUCGUCCGCCUUUCAAUGAGACAUGUUAGACCGUCAGUCCGUUCAAAGUGACAUGUUAUAUUCCAAGAUAGGCCAUCCGCAUUUCAAUGAAAUAUGUUGGACCGUCUCUCCUUUCAAAGUGACAUGUUAAAUCCAAAAUAGGUCUUCUGCCUUUCAAUGAGACACGUUGGACUGUCACUCCGUUCAAAGUGAUAUGUUAUAUCCAAAAUAGGUCGUUCGCCUUUCAAUGAGAUACGUUGGACCAUGACUCCAUUCAAAGUGAUAUUUUACAUUCAAAAUAGGUCGUCCGUCUUUCAAUGAGACAUAUUGGAUCUUCACUCCGUUUAAAGUAACAUGUUACAUCCAAGAUAGGUCGCCCACCUUUCAAUGAGACACAUUAGACUGUCGAGAAAAAUUGGUUACAUGUUAACAUUUUCGUUUGAAGACUUCUACAUUAUCUUCAAAUACAAAGGGGCAAGUUGUUGAUACCCAAUUUCAGCUUUUCAUAACUGGCAAAAAAUGCAAUUUUCACACAUUUUUUGCAAUUGUUGAUAAAUUAUUGAUAAUCAUAAUUAUUUUAGAAUUUUUACUCAUUUAUUGUCAUAUUUUAAAAUUUUAUAAAUUUUAGACUUUUUAUCAGUGUAUUAUUAUUGUUGCACAUUAAUUUGCUACAUACACAGCACAACACUGUAAUUUUUACUGCACAGUAUAAUUUUAAUUAUUUAUAACAUAAUAUAUUUUUAAAUAUAACUUUUUUUAUUGUUGUUGUUUAUAUUCUUCUAUAUUUAUACAUCGGCAUCCAUAUUUUUGUAUAUUAUUUAAUACGAUUCAUAAAUGUGAGUCAAUUUUAAUACACAUUAUAAUAAUAAAUUCAGUGUAUUUAUUUAUAGGCAAAAAAUUAUCUUCAGUAAUGCAUUGCUUACCUAUAUUGAGGUUGCAAUUCAACAUUGAUAGCUGAUGAAUAUUUGUACAGAUUUUCUUCUUCGAAAAGGUUGAAAAAAACUUACCAAAAUUUGAAACAUUGGCCAAGCAUUUAUGGGAUGGAUCCACACUUUUCAUCAUUUUUCUUUUCCUUUUAAACACUACACAUACAACAUAAAGAAAAAAGAAAAGGUUCUCUCCUAUCUCACUUUCUCUCUCUUAGUUUACUCUCUUUUUCUUUUCUCUUUACUGUCAUCCACCCCACAAUAUUUCCCUUGCAUUUUCCAAUAAAACAAAGAACAAGCAACAACAACAAGCCUCCUCCAUUUUUUUUUUUUUUACAUUUUCAUAAACAACAAUUACUCCCUCCACUAAUCUCCAGAUCCCGCUAGCCACUAGAUUCAGCCACCAUUGUCAAACCAGAUCCGGCGACCUCCCUGGCAAACACACUCCAGAUCCAGUAGCCCGCUACCCCCACUGAAAGUAAUAUUAUGUUGUUUAAUUUUCUUAGUGAUUUUAUUUUUUUGUGAUAUAUUGGUAUUGUUUUAUCUGUGCAAAAAUAUUUUUUUUGGGCAAUGAUAUUAUCUUUUCGUCAGAUAUUUGAGGCCACCUCAUUACAAAAGACGAAUUUUAUUUUUCAAGUUAUUUAUUCUUUUUUAAAAAAUAGACAUUUCGCCAGUGUUAUUCUCCUGAAAUUUUGCUCGUUUUGGCUUUGUCUGUUCUUUGAUGUUGUUUGUUGUUGGUGGUAUAGUGUUUUGAAAAUAUUGUUGCUUACUUUAUCAUUAUGUUUAGGUUGCUUACUUUAUCAUUAUGUUUAGGUUGGUACUUCCUCUACUGUAGUUUGAUUGACUAAAAAAUAUUUUUCAAAUGAUGUCUCUUUUGUUAUUUUUUGGUACCGGUAGUUAUGAAUUAUUGUUUACUGUUCUACUUGGUUACUGUUCCUUUACAAUUUUUUUUAGAUCAUUUUGUCUCUCGUAUUAUUUACACUAAUAAUAAAAUAAAUAUUUUGGGCAAUGAUGAAAUUGUUAUAACUGUUUUGAAAAUUUUACCUGAGCCCGCUUUUUAAUAAAAAUUAUAUUUUUUAAUACAUAUAUGUGCACAUGCCUUAUUAUAAUUAUUUCUUUGUUACUAAUAUUUUUACUAUAAGUGUUUGUACAGGUU